AUUACAGAGAGGAAGCCUGAGAUAAAGACAUCCUUUUCAGCACUCAGGAGAAUCCAUUGAUUGAGGUGAAGAGGUUGCUAUUGAAAAUUCCUUUCAUCUGAAUCAGUCUUCUUGCAUUUAUCAACCUGAAAAAUGAGUAAAAGCUAUAGAUGGAAACACCCUGCAAUGACUGUGCAUGACGCAGGGGGGCUGAAAAACUUUUGGGAGAAAAAAAUUGAAUGCCAUGCAAAGCAAGUGCAAAAUGAAAACUCUCGAAUAAGCAAGAGUGCCCUGAAUAAACUCCGCUGUGAAUGGACUCAGAGACUGGAAAGGAGAAUCAAGAUGCUACAACAGCCCUAGGAAGUGCCCAAGAAGUCAUCCCUACUCCCAAUCAUAUCUUUCCACCUUGUCGAUAAAAUGGUCGCCUAAAGUCAUAAAUAAAAUGGUAAUAGGAAAAGCACUGUUUCAUAGGGAGUGAAAACCCCCUUAAGAGAUUCCUGUGGAGCAGUGAAAAGAUGUAGCCCAACCCGAAUGCUGGGCAGGAAUUUUAAAGUAUUAAUUUGAGAUGUAUAUGUGUCAUGCAGGAAUAUAUUCGAUAUGGAAAUUGUGGCUAUGUUUCAUUGUUGCAUUCAGAUCACAGUAGAAUCCUUUCAGAAAAUUACUUUUCAUGAUAUAGAUUUAACUGUUCUACAGAUCAGAUUCUGUCUCCCCCAACUUAAGUACUGUAACUGAAAGAAAGCCAGGACCAGAGUCUGGGACACCUGAGUUCAAGUCUUUCAAAUGACACAACUGGUUUUGUGACCUUUUAACCUCUCAAGGUCCUCUGGUAAUUCUCUAAGAUUAGAAAUCAUAUUUGAGUUUCUUAUUCAAAUUGGCUUAGGGAGUUUCCAAAUUAGAAGUUCUCCAUACCCAUUAGGGGUGUGGAGUAGAAUAAUCUCAUCCCACUGCCCCCACCUGUUUCCACCAUC